GAUGAACGCUGGCGGCGUGCCUAAUACAUGCAAGUCGAGCGAACAGACGAGGAGCUUGCUCCUUUGACGUUAGCGGUGGGCGGGUGAGUAAUACGUGGAUAACAUCCUUCUAUGACUGGGAUAAUCUCGUGAAACCGGAGCUUCUAGCGGAUAAUAUCAUGUACCGCAUGGUUCAAUAGUGAAAGACGGCUUUGCUGUUACUUAUCGAUGGUUUCGCGUCGCAUUAGCUAGUUGGUAAGGUCACGGCUUACCAAGGAGACUAUUCGUAGCCGACCUGAGAGGCUGAUCGCCCACACUGGAACUGAGACACGGUCCAGACUCCUACGGGAGGCAGCAGUAGGGAAUCUUCCGCAAUGGGCGAAAGCCUGGCAGAGCAACACCGCGUGUGUGAUGAAGGUCUUCGGUUCGUAAAACACUGUUAUUGGGGAAGAACAGAUGUGGAAGUAACUAUACACGUCUUGACGGUACCUAAUCAGAAAGCCACGGCUAACUACGUG
rnacentral:rRNA from 1 species